rnacentral:rRNA from 1 species
AUUGAACGCUGGCGGCAGGCUUAACACAUGCAAGUCGAGCGGGGUGAUGGUGCUUGCACUAUCACUUAGCGGCGGACGGGUGAGUAAUGCUUAGGAAUCUGCCUAUUAGUGGGGGACAACAUCUCGAAAGGGGUGCUAAUACCGCAUACGUCCUACGGGAGAAAGCAGGGGAUCACUUGUGACCUUGCGCUAAUAGAUGAGCCUAAGUCGGAUUAGCUAGUUGGUGGGGUAAAGGCCUACCAAGGCGACGAUCUGUAGCGGGUCUGAGAGGAUGAUCCGCCACACUGAGACUGAGACACGGCCCAGACUCCUACGGGAGGCAGCAGUGGGGAAUAUUGGACAAUGGGCGGAAGCCUGAUCCAGCCAUGCCGCGUGUGUGAAGAAGGCCUUUUGGUUGUAAAGCACUUUAAGCGAGGAGGAGGCUACUAGUAUUAAUACUACUGGAUAGUGGACGUUACUCGCAGAAUAAGCACCGGCUAACUCUGUGCCAGCCGCCGCCGUAA